ACUAAGUUUCAACAACGGAUCUCUUGGCUCUCGCAUCGAUGAAGAACGCAGCGAAAUGCGAUAAGUAAUGUGAAUUGCAGAAUUCAGUGAAUCAUCGAAUCUUUGAACGCACCUUGCGCUCCUUGGUAUCCCUUGGAGCAUGCCUGUUUGAGUAUCAUGAAAU
rnacentral:rRNA from 1 species